AUUCACGUGUAGCAGUGAAAUGCGUAGAGAUGUGGAGGAAUACCGAUGGCGAAGGCAGCCCCCUGGGCCAAUACUGACGCUCAUGCACGAAAGCGUGGGGAGCAAACAGGAUUAGAUACCCUGGUAGUCCACGCCCUAAACGAUGUCAACUAGUUGUCGGGUCUUCAUUGACUUGGUAACGUAGCUAACGCGUGAAGUUGACCGCCUGGGGAGUACGGUCGCAAGAUUAAAACUCAAAGGAAUUGACGGGGACCCGCACAAGCGGUGGAUGAUGUGGAUUAAUUGGAUGCAACGCGAAAACCCUUACUUACCCUUGCCAUGUAUGGAAUCAUCAUGAGAGGUGGGAGUGCCCGAAAGGGAACCAUAACACAGGUGCUGCAUGGCUGUCGUCAGCU
rnacentral:rRNA from 1 species